GUCUUUAUAGUUUAGUAAAAACAUUAGUCUUGUAAACUAAAAUUAUCAUUUAUAAAAAAU
rnacentral:tRNA from 1 species